AGAAAGUAGCUUGCUACUUUGCUGACGAGCGGCGGACGGGUGAGUAAUGCUUGGGAAUAUGCCUUUACGUGGGGGACAACAGUUGGAAACGACUGCUAAUACCGCAUAAUGUCUUCGGACCAAAGGAGGGGACUCUUCGGAGCCUUUCGCGUAUUGAUUAGCCCAAGUGGGAUUAGCUAGUUGGUGAGGUAAUGGCUCACCAAGGCGACGAUCCCUAGCUGGUUUGAGAGGAUGAUCAGCCACACUGGGACUGAGACCCGGCCCAGACUCCUACGGGAGGCAGCCGUGGGGAAUAUUGCACAAUGGGCGAAAGCCUGAUGCAGCCAUGCCGCGUGUGUGAAGAAGGCCUUCGGGUUGUAAAGCCUUUUCA
rnacentral:rRNA from 1 species